GAUGAACGCUGGCGGCGUGCCUAACACAUGCAAGUCGAGCGAUUCUCUUCGGAGAAGAGCGGCGGACGGGUGAGUAACGCGUGGGUAACCUGCCCUGUACACACGGAUAACAUACCGAAAGGUAUGCUAAUACGGGAUAACAUGUUUUGAUCGCAUGGUCGAAAUAUCAAAGCUCCGGCGGUACAGGAUGGACCCGCGUCUGAUUAGCUAGUUGGUGAGGUAAUGGCUUACCAAGGCGACGAUCAGUAGCCGACCUGAGAGGGUGAUCGGCCACAUUGGAACUGAGACACGGUCCAAACUCCUACGGGAGGCAGCAGUGGGGAAUAUUGCACAAUGGGCGAAAGCCUGAUGCAGCAACGCCGCGUGAGCGAUGAAGGCCUUCGGGUCGUAAAGCUCUGUCCUCAAGGAAGAUAAUGACGGUACUUGAGGAGGAAGCCCCGGCUAACUACGUGCCAGCAGCCGCCGUAA
rnacentral:rRNA from 1 species